rnacentral:rRNA from 1 species
CGAAGAAAAACUUUGCAAUGUGCGAAAGCACGACAAGGUUAAUCCGAGUGGUUUCUGCUAAAGAGACCUUUUGUCGGUCCUAGAAACACCGAUGAAUAAGGGGUGGGCAAGUUCUGGUGUCAGCCGCCGCGGUAAAAACCAGCACCUCAAGUGGUCAGGAUGAUUAUGGGCCUAAAGCAUCCGUAGCCGGCUCUGUAAGUUUUCGGUAAAUCCAUUUGCUCAACGAAUGGGCUGCCGGGAAUACUGCAAAGCUAGGGAGUGGAGAGGU